GGUGGGGUGCCGGAGUGGUCGAACGGGGCGGUCUCGAAAACCGUUGUACGUGCAAACGUACCGUGGGUUCGAAUCCCACCCCCACCGCCA
rnacentral:tRNA from 1 species